GUCUCCUAGCUCGAGGGUCUUGCUCUUAGCAUUUUCUCCAGAGAGUAGGUUUUCAUGCUCCAGAAUUGGGGCGGCGGGGAUGGGCGAGGAUCCAUUUGAGGGUCAUUGUCUCUUCCUUGAGAUGCACAAUAGGGAGAUGUCACAGCACUGUGGUCCAGAGAAGCACAUCGCACUGGAGGUGAUUUUCAUCACCUGCGGCUCCAUGUACUUCUUAAUACUGGAAACGAAAAAGGAUUCCCAAAUUCUAGGUCCAGCUUGAUCGAGCGCUUCCCUGGGCUCAAAUGUUCAGCUAUGAAGAUCUAGCACAGGCCACCUGCUUGCCCGCGAAAUUUUUAUCCAAGCCACAAUUCAGCAAAUUUAAACGCUGGACUCAGUUUAGCUAGUUAAAUUGGAAGCGCACAGGUCCAAAGCUUCUUCA